CAAAAUGUAGCUUAAUUAAAGCAUUUCGCUUACACCGAAACAAUCUCUGUUAAAAUCAGGUCAUUUUGA
rnacentral:tRNA from 1 species